rnacentral:lncRNA from 1 species
GAAAAGCUCACCUCUUGCUGGAGACAGCUUUCUACUAGGUUUGUACCUUAGAAAGAAAAUGCUAAUGUAACCAAAUAAUCACUUCUGGGUACAUCUAGGUGGACACAUGAUUUUUAUCAUGUUAUCCAGUGCUUUUAUUGUACAGGUUUCCCAUAUCUUAUCUCUUCUGUCUCCUACAGAUAUAGAUUGCAAUAUCACUGCCACACCCUCAAAAAACAAAAACACCCAACAAUGGAAACAAAAAACACACCCAAAAACAAUGAAAUCUGUCACCAGUUAAAUGCUAAAACCACAGGCCAGAAAGACUUCAUCUCUAUUGCUCUGUUUUGCAGCAGAUUCAAGGAAGAGUAGUGGUGGUGUUUGUGGACCAGGAUAUUCACAGCCAUGUAAGCACUUGCAGAUGCAAAACACCCCUGGGCUUCUGCAUGGGAGCAACUCUGUAUUUACUUGUAUUUUCAGAUGCAUCAAGCAGCUGUGUGCAAUGCAGACUCUUGGGGUAACCUACUGGUCACUUGAGCCAAGGUCAGAGGCAUUAGCUCCACCUGUAAACUGGGAGGACAAAUGGAUGUGAUUUAACAGGACUUGUAGAUGAAGUUUUGACUCUGGGCUCAAAGACAAAUUAAGCUGUCUAUGAAGUGAAGGACAUCUGCAGAGUCACUAGUUGCUGAUCUCCAAACUGGCCACAUCAUUUGGUCUGGACUCUUAUACAGGUAGGUAAACACUUAAACUAUGUUAUACAGGCAUACAUACAAUAUUUGAUGAAACGUUCUCUUAAAUACUAUUUGAAAAACAAACAAAAAAAAUCAAAAAACAACCACAAAAAAAAACAGAAUUUUUGCAGUUGCUUAAAUGAUGAUAGCAUGCUUUUGAUACUGAUACUUUUAAGGAACAUUGGGAUAUAUAAUUAUUUCUCUAUCAAAUUAUUUCUAAAA